AGCGAACGCUGGCGGCAGGCCUAACACAUGCCAGUCGAACGAACCUUUCGGGGUUAGUGGCGGACGGGUGAGUAACACGUUGGAACGUGCCUUUAGGUUCGGAAUAACUCAGUUAAACUUGUGCUAAUACCGAAUGUGCCCUUCGGGGGAAAGAUUUAUCGCCUUUAGUUCGGCCCGCGUCUGAUUAGCUAGUUGUUUGAGGUAAUGGCUCACCAAGGCGACGAUCAGUAGAUGGUCUGAGAGGAUGAUCAGCCACAUUGGGACUGAGACACGGACCAAAAUACGACGGGAGGGAGGAGUGGGGAAUAUUGCGAAAUGGGCGAAAGCCUGAAGAAGCCAUGACGCGUGAAUGAUGAAGGUAUUAGGAAUGUAAAAUUCUUUCAAAGGGGAAGAUAAUGACGGUACCAGGAGAAGAAGCCACGGCUAACUUCGUG
rnacentral:rRNA from 1 species